GGUUAGAUGAAAUGAAUCAUAAAGUUAAAGUAAUAAAUAUCAAAAUAAAUACUAAUAGUAAUUGAGUUGGUGAAAAAUGGACUACAUCUUUCUGCUGUCUACACUCAGGCGCCUUUUAAUGACUCUUAUAUCGAAUGACAAAUAAAUAGGGGGAACUAGUGAAAUCCUCGAGAGAUCACGGUAACGGCCCCCUAGCGAGUAAUUGUAUCGUAACAACUCUUGGCGUCCCUUGUUGAAAGACAGGUUGCGAAUGUUCACGGAUCAUCACCUUUUUGGAACUGACUUGGAUACAAGUGUGUUUUUGUGGUCCACCAAAUGGUAGCCAUUCUCUAGACUUCAUCCUCAUAGAUGUCAUAACGAAUGAAUGAGUUCCUCAAACACACAUCACGGAUCAUCUGCUGUUAAUUCUAUAGUUUUUGCGGUCCACCAAAUGUUGUGGUUUUUCUCUUGACACAUGUUGACGAUAAAUUGGAUCCAUAGUUUGGAGAUAUUGAAGAUGAAAAAUACAAGACACUUUUCACAAUAUAAAAACAAGAAUGCGGGCAUGUACAAGAUGUGAAAUAAAGUCCAGAGUUUCACCUGUCUGUCAAAAGCACACUGGAUUUUGGAGAAAAUUCCCUGAUGUUUUAUCCUUCUGCGGUGUAACCACAAAUUAAUCUAAACUAUCCCAACAUACUAAGUCUAACCUGAUGACUUCUAAUGCAUAUUUGGUGUUCUUAAUAAGGGUGAUUUACGUUUUAUUUAAUAACCAUUCUUCCAUCAACAAGGUAGAAUGUCAUCAAUUAAAAUUUAUUUUCACCUUUAACUCUUCCGGCUGCAUCGUCAUCAACACCAUUAUUGUUAUUAAUUAAAUAAUUAUGUGUGUGAAUGAGACUACAGUUGGUGUCUGUUUCAAAUCAGAUAAAAUUUUAAUAGUUAAAUUAUUAGUUAUACUACGGAAAACUUUUUUGGAUGAGGUCUCUUCAUGCUUGGCGUAGGUUGAAGUGUUUUUUUUUCAUGAUGAAUAAAUUUGUUAUGAUGGAAAAAAUGUGUCAUACAUCCACACUGAAGAAUGUUAUCUAUUUUUAUCCAACUUUCAAUCAAUUUCCAACGGAAUAGAACUAAUAAUCAACUGAACUAUAUACAAGCAGUAGCCAAAGUAAAUCGAAGGUUGAUUAUCACCCUGGUUUCAUCAUCAACGUGUGUAUACUCGGUCACAGACUGUAUAUAUAUACAUGAUACUGCAGCCUAACUGAUCAAUUUGCCAUGGCUAUUCUCUCUCAGAGUACAAAGCAGCAUAUACAAGAGCUGCGAAAAACCUCAGCAAUUUUAUCGACAGUAAUUUCGCCUAAACAUCUUCUAGCAGCUGCCGGAGAUAUUAAGGGACGAGUUUUAGAUUAUUUUUUUUUUAUUCUUAUUCAGACAUCAUUUUUUUCCUUCAUAUGUGCCGCCUUUGCGUAUAGGUAACGAAUAAAAUAUUAAUUUUUUCCUCAUCAACGGAAUUAUUCAGUGAUGUCAGUAAUUUUCGUAAAUUAUUUCUUGAUCAAAAUCAUUCCGUCCUUGAUUCAAUGACAAACUAUAAUGAUGAUAUUUAAAUCAAUUAAUUAUGUUAAAAUAUUUUUAUUGUUUGAUGGAGAUGAUCCCACCACAUUCCAAGACAUGGAUAAAAUAAAUAUGAAAAUGAAAAAUAAAUACUGACAUUUUUUAAUCGAUUUUGUUGAUUGUCUAAAAAAAAAAAAGAAUGAUAAUUUAAUUACACUCUAAGGAAUUAAUGAUUUAGUUUCUAAUUGAAUAA